rnacentral:tRNA from 1 species
GCAGUGGUGGUGCAGUGGAAGCUUUCUUGCCUUCAAUGCAGGAGACCCAAGUUCAAUUCCUGGCCAAUGCU